AGUUUUGCCAUUAAAAAGGGAAAUUACUGAACCUAAAUAAAGGAGCAAAAAAAGACAGAUGAAGUUUUUGUUUUUUGCAUCUGAAGUCUUGGCCUACCAAUAUUAAACUGUACUGCAGUUCUGCUGUUUUGUGCGAGACAUAGCCCAUGUGACGAGCUUCCUUCGCGCGCACGCGCCGCGGGCGUUGUCCUGACAACGAGUCUCGAGAGCAGCUGAUGCUCAUUACUGUCAGUCAGCGUCUUUCCGCGUAGUGUCUGCUCCAUAAAAUAUGGUUUGGUUGAUUUCCUCACUGAAAUUAUCGUUCAUAUAGGUUCAUAUUUAUGAACUAUCACAAUUAAAACACAAAGACAUGACAGCAUUACUCGUGGUGACGACGGUCAUUAACAAGUGGAAUGGAAGAGAAGCGUUUUCUGGAAGCAAAAAAGAAGUUCAUUGCGCGAGGCCUUGUCAAGUCAUUCAGCUUAGAGAAAUGCAUGUUAUUGGGCAAAUUGUGUAGACUGUCAAUGGAGUGACAGAAAGAUUUCAUCAAAAAUAUCUUCAGUUGUGUUCCCCGUGUCUUGCGGGGUUGGAAUGACAUGAGGACUACUUCCAAAAUUGUGUUUCCACAUCUGAGAUGAAGGCAGUGAAAAGAACGAAGUGGAAUAAGAAUAAGCUCUUCAAAAAACACAACUUCUCUGAAUAAUGUGGGGGAAGAUGUUUGCAUGAUUUGUAAAUAAACACUUUAAAUACA